UAGGGAAUAUUGGGCAAUGGUCGAGAGACUGACCCAGCCAUGCCGCGUGCAGGAUGAAGGCCUUAUGGGUUGUAAACUGCUUUUGAUCGGGAACAAAGAGGCCAUGCGUGGCAAGAUGAGUGUACCGAUAGAAUAAGCACCGGCUAACUCCGUGCCAGCAGCCGCGGUAAUACGGAGGGUGCAAGCGUUGUCCGGAUUUAUUGGGUUUAAAGGGUGCGUAGGCGGCUGAUUAAGUCAGUGGUGAAAGGCAGCAGCUCAACUGUUUGCACGGCCAUUGAUACUGGUUAGCUUGAGUACAGUCGAGGUAGGCGGAAUUGAAGGUGUAGCGGUGAAAUGCAUAGAUAUCUUCAAGAACACCUAUUGCGAAGGCAGCUUACUAGGCUGUAACUGACGCUGAUGCACGAAAGCGUGGGGAUCGAACA
rnacentral:rRNA from 1 species